GGAAUCCUCAGGCUGAUUUACAAGCCAUGACUAGAGCUCACUGGCUCGGUCAGACCAAAGGUAAUGAUUUAUCGGCUGAUAACUAGAGGAACUAUCGAGGAAAUAAUGAUGCAGCUGACUAAAAAGAAAUUGUUUUGGAGCAUCUGGUUUUGGGGAAACUCAAAGCACAAAAUAUAAAUCAGGAAGAGCUGGACGACAUCAUAAGAUAUGUGCCUCGAAAGAGCUUUUUGUGGAUGAGAGUGAUGAAGCUAGAAAGUUCGUCUAAUACACUAUGAUGGUGCUGCAAUGGAUAGAAUGCUGGAUCGUGAUCGAGUUGGAGUGAAAGAGGCUACAGUAAAUGACGCGGUAGAUGAUGGCAUCCUUCUAAAAUCCUUCAAGCUUCACCAACUUGUGAAAGUCGAGGCAAUAAACUUUCUUCAAUAGCGGAAGGAGCAUAAGAUGAAAAAAAUAUGAAACAGCAGCAAAACGCCUGGAUAAUGCACAGCUUGUAGGGUCUCUCGCUCUAUUUUUUAGUUAUUUUUUUUUGUCACUUCUAGUUUUUACUCUACAGAAUUAUAGGUAUUUGAUGCUCAGCAUUGUAUCUUGGCUCAUUUAUUCACAUUAACAUCUCUGCAGUGUUUUUACGUAAACCAUUUCUGCAGUGUGUUUACAUAAACCAUUUAUGAAGUACACUAUAGUAAUAUUUAAAAUUCACAGAUAUUUUUUACCCUUUUAUGGUACUUUAAA